UUUAUACUUUGUUAAUUAGAUUGAAGCUUUACCAAGUAUAGUUAAAGAAGUUGGGCAUAGAAUUGAUGUCUACCUUGAUUGUGGUAUAAGACAUGGCACUGAUGUUUUCAAAGCAUUAGCUCUUGGAGCUAAAAUGGUAUUUUUGGCCCAACCUAUUUUAUGGGGCUUAACAUAUGACGGUCAAAAAGGGGUUGAAGAUGUAUUGGAAAUUAUUAUAAAUGAAUUUGAUAACACAAUGGCAUUAACAGGUUGUAGGACAUUGGCUGAUAUUGAAAAGGAUAUGGUUGUUCAUGAAUCUAUUUAUUCAAAACUUUAGUAUACUAAAUCAAUGUUUCCAACACUUUUAAUUAUUUUUAUUUCUGAAAUAUUAUUUUAUACUUUUAUUAAAAUAAUUAAAAAUUAUAUUUUAAUACUAGAAAAAUAAUUUUAGUUUUUAUGCGAUCUAUCUUUUCAUUUCAAAUUGUAGUUCCAAAUUGUGUUACUUUUGUUAUUAUUAUAAUAAUGUUUUAUAACAUUUUUUUUUAAUUGUUUAAUAUAUUGACAUAUUUUAAUGAUUU